rnacentral:rRNA from 1 species
AUACCGCGAAACUGCGAAUGGCUCAUUAUAUAAGUUAUCGUUUAUUUGAUAGCACAUUACUACUUGGAUAACCGUGGUAAUUCUAGAGCUAAUACAUGCUAAAAAUCCCGACUUCGGAAGGGAUGUAUUUAUUAGAUUAAAAGCCAACGCCCUUCGGGGCUCUGUGGUGAUUCAUAAUAACUGGUCGAAUCGCAUGGCCUUGCGCCGGCGAUGGUUCAUUCAAAUUUCUUCCCUAUCAACUUUCGAUGCGAGGGUCUUGUCCUCGCAUGGUUGCAACGGGUAACGGAGGGUUAGGGCUCGACCCCGGAGAAGGAGCCUGAGAAACGGCUACUACAUCCAAGGAAGGCAGCAGGCGCGCAAAUUACCCAAUCCCGACACGGGGAGGUAGUGACAAUAAAUACUGAUACAGGGCUCUUUUGGGUCUUGUAAUCGGAAUGAGUACAAUUUAAAUCCCUUAACGAGGAACAAUUGGAGGGCAAGUCUGGUGCCAGCAGCCGCGGUAAUUCCAGCUCCAAUAGCGUAUAUUAAAGUUGUUGUGGUUAAAAAGCUCGUAGUCGAACCUUGGGCCUGGCUGGCCGGUCCCCCUCACCGGGUGCACUGAUCCAGCCGGGCCUUUCCCUCUGUGGAACCCCAUGGCCUUCACUGGCUGUGCGGGGGAAACAGGACUUUUACUGUGAAAAAAUUAGAGUGCUCCAGGCAGGCCUAUGCUCGAAUACAUUAGCAUGGAAUAAUAGAAUAGGACGUGUGGUUCUAUUUUGUUGGUUUCUAGGACCGCCGUAAUGAUUAAUAGGGACAGUCGGGGGCAUCAGUAUUCAGUUGUCAGAGGUGAAAUUCUUGGAUCUACUGAAGACUAACUACUGCGAAAGCAUUUGCCAAGGAUGUUUUCAUUGAUAAGGAACGAAAGUUAGGGGAUCGAAGACGAUCAGAUACCGUCGUAGUCUUAACUAUAAACUAUGCCGACUAGGGAUCGGACGAUGUUAUUAUUUGACGCGUUCGGCACCUUUCGAGAAAUCAAAGUGC